rnacentral:rRNA from 1 species
GUGUCUGUUGAAAAAGACUCCGAUGACUUGUGGUUAGGGGUGAAAGGCCAAUCAAACUGGGAAAUAGCUGGUUCUCCGCGAAAGAUAUUUAGGUAUCGCCUCGGAUGAAUACCUCAGGGGGUAGAGCACUGGAUGGGCUAGGGGGACUUACCGUCUUACCAAACCCAACCAAACUCCGAAUACCUGAGAGUACUAUCCGGGAGUCACACGGCGGGUGCUAACGUCCGUCGUGGAGAGGGAAACAACCCGGACCUA